UACGAAGGGUGCAGGCGUUACUCGGCAUUACUGGGCGUAAAGCGUGCGUAGGUGGUUUGUUAAGUCUGAUGUGAAAGCCCUGGGCUCAACCUGGGAAUUGCAUUGGAUACUGGCAGGCUAGAGUGCGGUAGAGGAUGGCGGAAUUCCCGGUGUAGCAGUGAAAUGCGUAGAGAUCGGGAGGAACAUCUGUGGCGAAGGCGGCCAUCUGGACCAGCACUGACACUGAGGCACGAAAGCGUGGGGAGCAAACAGG
rnacentral:rRNA from 1 species